GACAGAGGGUGCAAACGUUGUUCGGAAUUACUGGGCGUAAAGCGUGUGUAGGCGGUCCACUAAGUCGGAUGUGAAAGCCCUGGGCUCAACCCAGGAAGUGCACUCGAAACUGGCGGGCUAGAGUAUCGGAGAGGUUGGUGGAAUUCUCGGUGUGAGAGGUGAAAUUCGUAGAUAUCGAGAGGAACACCGGUGGCGAAGGCGGCCAACUGGACGAAUACUGACGCUGAGACACGAAAGCGUGGGGAGCAAACAGG
rnacentral:rRNA from 1 species